CCUAGAGUUGUAGGCUUUGCCUGCUAUCUCUUACCCAUGUCUUUUGAGUACCUUACGUUUUCCUCGGUGGGUUCGCCCACCGAUUGGACAAAUUCAUACCCUUUGCAGUUGAAAUCAGCGUCUGAAAAAAACUUAAUAGUUA
rnacentral:misc_RNA from 1 species